rnacentral:rRNA from 1 species
AGUGAACGCUGGCGGUAGGCCUAACACAUGCAAGUCGAACGGCAGCACAGGAGAGCUUGCUCUCUGGGUGGCGAGUGGCGGACGGGUGAGGAAUACAUCGGAAUCUACUUUUUCGUGGGGGAUAACGUAGGGAAACUUACGCUAAUACCGCAUACGACCUACGGGUGAAAGCAGGGGACCUUCGGGCCUUGCGCGAUUGAAUGAGCCGAUGUCGGAUUAGCUAGUUGGCGGGGUAAAGGCCCACCAAGGCGACGAUCCGUAGCUGGUCUGAGAGGAUGAUCAGCCACACUGGAACUGAGACACGGUCCAGACUCCUACGGGAGGCAGCAGUGGGGAAUAUUGGACAAUGGGCGCAAGCCUGAUCCAGCCAUACCGCGUGGGUGAAGAAGGCCUUCGGGUUGUAAAGCCCUUUUGUUGGGAAAGAAAUCCAGCCGGUUAAUACCUGGUUGGGAUGACGGUACCCAAAGAAUAAGCACCGGCUAACUUCGUGCCAGCAGCCGCGGUAACAC